rnacentral:rRNA from 1 species
GCAUAACGCGAAGAACCUUACCUGGCCUUGACAUGUCCGGAAUCCAGCAGAGAUGCAGGAGUGCCUUCGGGAAUCGGAACACAGGUGCUGCAUGGCUGUCGUCAGCUCGUGUCGUGAGAUGUUGGGUUAAGUCCCGCAACGAGCGCAACCCUUGUCCUUAGUUGCCAGCACGUAAUGGUGGGAACUCUAAGGAGACUGCCGGUGACAAACCGGAGGAAGGUGGGGAUGACGUCAAGUCCUCAUGGCCCUUACGGCCUGGGCUACACACGUGCUACAAUGGUCGGUACAGAGGGUUGCCAAGCCGCGAGGUGGAGCUAAUCUCACAAAACCGAUCGUAGUCCGGAUCGCAGUCUGCAACUCGACUGCGUGAAGUCGGAAUCGCUAGUAAUCGCGAAUCAGAAUGUCGCGGUGAAUACGUUCCCGGGUCUUGUACACACCG